rnacentral:rRNA from 1 species
CCUACGGGUGGCAGCAGUGAGGAAUAUUGGUCAAUGGACGAGAGUCUGAACCAGCCAAGUAGCGUGAAGGAUGACUGCCCUAUGGGUUGUAAACUUCUUUUAUCAAGGAAUAAAACGAGGCACGUGUGCCUUUUUGCAUGUACUUUAUGAAUAAGGAUCGGCUAACUCCGUGCCAGCAGCCGCGGUAAUACGGAGGAUCCGAGCGUUAUCCGGAUUUAUUGGGUUUAAAGGGAGCGUAGAUGGGUUGUUAAGUCAGUUGUGAAAGGUUGCGGCUCAACCGUAAAAUUGCAAUUGAUACUGGCAGUCUUGAGUACAGUUGAGGUAGGCGGAAUUCGUGGUGUAGCGGUGAAAUGCUUAGAUAUCACGAAGAACCCCGAUUGCGAAGGCAGCUUACUAAACUGUGACUGACAUUGAUGCUCGAAAGUGUGGGUAUCAAACAGGAUUAGAUACCCCAGUAGUU